GAGAGCACAGUACGAUGAAAGUUGUAAGCUGUGUUCGGGGGGGAGUUAUUGUCUAUCGUUGGCCUCUAUGGUAGAACCCGUCGGGGAGGCCUGAGAGGUGGUGGUUUACCC
rfam:Hordeum vulgare subsp. vulgare, WGS project CAJW01000000 data, contig: morex_contig_2542875